AGCGAACGCUGGCGGCAGGCUUAACACAUGCAAGUCGAGCGGGCACUUCGGUGUCAGCGGCAGACGGGUGAGUAACACGUGGGAACGUGCCCUUCGGUUCGGAAUAACUCAGGGAAACUUGGGCUAAUACCGGAUACGCCCUUUUGGGGAAAGGUUUACUGCCGAAGGAUCGGCCCGCGUCUGAUUAGCUAGUUGGUGGGGUAAUGGCCUACCAAGGCGACGAUCAGUAGCUGGUCUGAGAGGAUGAUCAGCCACACUGGGACUGAGACACGGCCCAGACUCCUACGGGAGGCAGCAGUGGGGAAUAUUGGACAAUGGGCGCAAGCCUGAUCCAGCCAUGCCGCGUGAGUGAUGAAGGCCUUAGGGUUGUAAAGCUCUUUCGAUCGAGACGAACGGCUCUUGGGUGAAUACCCCUGAGGGCGUGACGGUACCGAGAGAAGAAGCCCCGGCUAACUCCGUGCCAGCAGCCGCCGCGGUAAC
rnacentral:rRNA from 1 species